UACGUAGGGCGCGAGCGUUGUCCGGAAUUAUUGGGCGUAAAGAGCUCGUAGGCGGUUUGUCGCGUCUGCUGUGAAAACCUAAGGCUCAACCUUGGGCUUGCAGUGGGUACGGGCAGACUAGAGUGCGGUAGGGGUGACUGGAAUUCCUGGUGUAGCGGUGGAAUGCGCAGAUAUCAGGAGGAACACCGAUGGCGAAGGCAGAUCUCUGGGCCGUAACUGACGCUGAGGAGCGAAAGCGUGGGGAGCGAACAGG
rnacentral:rRNA from 1 species